rnacentral:rRNA from 1 species
UACGGGGGGGGCAAGCGUUGUUCGGAAUUACUGGGCGUAAAGGGCUCGUAGGCGGCCAACUAAGUCAGACGUGAAAUCCCCAGGCUCAACCUGGGAACUGCGUCUGAUACUGGUUGGCUUGAAUCCGGGAGAGGGAUGCAGAAUUCCAGGUGUAGCGGUGAAAUGCGUAGAGAUGUGGAGGAACACCAGUGGCGAAGGCGGCUCUCUGGUCUGUAACUGACGCUGAGGCGCGAAAGCGUGGGGAGCGAACAGG